AUUGAACGCUGGCGGCAGGCCUAACACAUGCAAGUCGAGCGAGCGGCGGACGGGUGAGGAAUGUCUGGGAAACUGUCUGAUGGAGAGGGAUAACUACUGGAAACGGUAGCUAAUAUCGCAUACCAUCAGAUGUGCCCAUAUGGGAUUAGCUCGUCGGUGGGGUAACGGCUCACCUAUGCGACGAUCCCUAGCUGGUCUGAGAGGAUGACCAGCCACACUGGGACUGAGACACGGUCCAGACUCCUACGGGAGGCAGCAGUGGGGAAUAUUGCACAAUGGGCGCAAGCCUGAUGCAGCCAUGCCGCGUGUGUGAAGAAGGCCUUCGGGUUGUAAAGCACUUUCAGCGGGGAGGCGUUACCCGCAGAAGAAGCACCGGCUAACUCCGUGCCAGCAGCCGCGGUAAUAC
rnacentral:rRNA from 1 species